ensembl:lncRNA
AAGAAGACUGCAAACACCAGAGGCUGGACCUCACGUUCUUUCUUCUCUUCUUAGUUCCUGUGUGACCCUGGGCCUGAGUUUUCUCUCUUUCUGGAGAAUGAGAAGGAAACCCUCCUGGGGUUCCUAAGGACCAGCAGAGGCAGGAGGCAGAAGGCAGAGCUGUAAGAUGGUCCCCAACAUUCCUGCCCCCGGCGCACACAUCCUUCACACUCUCCUUUAACAUGGGUGGGCCUGGCCUAAUCAGGUGAGCUCUUAAAGGCCCUGGGCCCUUCCUGAAGUCAGACACACAAGUGUAGAGAGACUGGAAGUGUGAGGGACCCAUGGAGGGGGUCACAAGGCAAGGGUCUGGGGUGACCUCUAGGAGCCAAGUGGUCCCCGGCCAACAGCCUGCAAGAUAGUGAGGAUCUCAGUCCUACCCACAAGGAGAGGAAUUCUACCAGCAACCGAAGGGCCUGAAGAUGUUCCCCCUGCUGAGCCUGCAGCCGGGGGCGUGGGCCGCUGAGUGAGGACCAGCUGAAGCGUGCUGGGGUCUUGACCCACAGAGACCAGGAGUUCCAGGGAGGAUACAACAAGGUGGGCGCUACUAUACCCACCAAAUUGGAGCAGAAAACCAAGCCGGGAGAGGCUGUGAUUUUCCAAGGCCCCAAAGGCAUUAGACGAAGAGGGAACCGAGAGGGUCAGGAACUGUCCAAGGCCACAGCGCAAGCGAGGGAGCUAUAAAGUUGCGAUGGG